GACGAACGCUGGCGGCGUGCCUAAUACAUGCAAGUUGAGCGCUGAAGGUUGGUACUUGUACCAACUGGAUGAGCAGCGAACGGGUGAGUAACGCGUGGGGAAUCUGCCUUUGAGCGGGGGACAACAUCUGGAAACGAAUGCUAAUACCGCAUAAAAACUUUAAACACAAGUUUUAAGUUUGAAAGAUGCAAUUGCAUCACUCAAAGAUGAUCCCGCGUUGUAUUAGCUAGUUGGUGAGGUAAAGGCCCACCAAGGCGAUGAUACAUAGCCGACCUGAGAGGGUGGACGGCCACAUUGGGAAUGAGACACGGCCCAAACUCCUACGGGGGGCAGCAGUAGGGAAUCUUCGGCAAUGGACGAAAGUCUGACCGAGCAACGCCGCGUGAGUGAAGAAGGUUUUCGGAUCGUAAAACUCUGUUGGUAGAGAAGAACGUUGGUGAGAGUAGAAAGCUCAUCAAGUGACGGUAACUAACCAGAAAGGGACGGCUAACUACGUG
rnacentral:rRNA from 1 species